AGCAGAGUUGGGGAGGGCAGGCUCUGAGCACGGGGACAGGCCUGUCCCCAAAGAGAGGUCACUGCUGCAAAGCCCCUGCCCUGGGCAGGGGCUCAGUGUGCACAGGAUUGGUCACUGUGGGCCUGCCCAGCGUGCCCUCGGCCACUCACAGGGCAAUGCCUGCCCGUCCAUGAGUCCCUGCAACACAAGAGUGCAUAGCCAAAGUCUGGGGACCAAGGGGAGGAGAGGGCUGGCCAGCGGACAGGAGCAUCUCUCCAGACUCCCGGGGAUGAGCUCCUGGCCCUGGCCUCUUCCUACUUAGAGAAGGUGGCCACAGCUUCCACAGUCUCCCAGCCUCUCAGCCCUGGUAGCCCCCACACCAUACCCAGGAAGGCGGAGGGGCUCAUAGACCCAGGCUGCCCCUGGCUGGGCUCCAUUCCACCAGGCAAAGCGCUGCACCCAGCCCCCACUGACCACCUGCACCCCAGGAUGCCACACAUUUAGUUCUCAAACUUUCCCUCACACACUUGUGCUUUCACAGAGCAAAUGCAACCUCCCCUACCUUGUACCUUGUCCUGAUUUGCCCAUCUCCUGAGCUAGAACUGUGAGACAGGAGCCUGGCAGGAACCUGGGCCCAGGAGCCAUGGAGUGAGGCAGUCUCUUCAGCCCAAGAGGGGCGCUCCAGGGCCCCGGAACCUCUAUCACCCCAGUCGUGUCCCUUCCUCACAUCUAGGACCUGAACUCCCUGGGCUCCUGGAGUAUCUGGCACUCGUGACUGCUCACCACGGUGAAUCUGCCUCAGUUUCCACUUCCCAGCCAGGACCCUGAGUCUCUGGGCUCCUGCAGCUUAGCAGAGCCAGGUCAAUUAAUGCUCUCUCCAUGCCCAGGGGGCUGCAGGAGACCGGGGUCCUAGAUUGUGCCUUCACAUGCGGGGCCUCCAGGCAGAGAACUCCCUUGGCUAUGCUUCCCUAUGUCUUGCUCCCUGUUGCUCAGAGGGCCAGUGUGCCAGGAGGGUCCUGGAAAGCUCCGGAGGGGGCGGCUAUACCCUUCCCACUGCAGGACUGCCAAGGCCAUGAAACAUCCCAAUAUGGACCACUACCUCCCAUCUGGACCCUCAAGCCAAGCCGGCCGGGUGCCCUCCCCACCCCGGAGCACCACCAGCCUCCAGCCAGGCCAGGCGAGGGGAGGCCCAGAGCCCCAUCCAGGUGUACUGCUGGGUGCCCUGGGAAGACCUUGCACUGGGAAGUCUCAGACACGCGGAACGCACCAGGCUCAGCUUGCAGGCCUGACGAAAUCCGAGCGACCCACGCCAGCCGCUGAGGGAAGGAGGGCGUGGCGUGGCGGUGCAGGUAGGGGGCGUGGCGGGGUAGUUGGUAGUGAGGGCCAUGACGAGGAGUCGCCAGGG
rnacentral:lncRNA from 1 species